UACGUAGGGUGCGAGCGUUAAUCGGAAUUACUGGGCGUAAAGCGUGCGCAGGCGGCGCGUUAAGACAGGUGUGAAAGCCCCGAGCUUAACUUGGGAAUUGCGCUUGUGACUGGCUUGCUGGAGUGUGGCAGAGGGGGGUGGAAUUCCGCGUGUAGCAGUGAAAUGCGUAGAGAUGCGGAGGAACACCGAUGGCGAAGGCAGCCCCCUGGGCCAACACUGACGCUCAGGCACGAAAGCGUGGGGAGCAAACAGG
rnacentral:rRNA from 1 species